ACCGAGAUUCCCCCAGUAGCGGCGAGCGAACGGGGAGGAGCCCAGAGCCUGAAUCAGUGUGUGUGUUAGUGGAAGCGUCUGGAAAGGCGCGCGAUACAGGGUGACAGCCCCGUACACAAAAAUGCACAUAUUGUGAGCUCGAUGAGUAGGGCGGGACACGUGGUAUCCUGUCUGAAUAUGGGGGGACCAUCCUCCAAGGCUAAAUACUCCUGACUGACCGAUAGUGAACCAGUACCGUGAGGGAAAGGCGAAAAGAACCCCGGCGAGGGGAGUGAAAAAGAACCUGAAACCGUGUACGUACAAGCAGUGGGAGCCUCUUAAUGGGGUGACUGCGUACCUUUUGUAUAAUGGGUCAGCGACUUAUAUUCUGUAGCAAGGUUAACCGAAUAGGGGAGCCGAAGGGAAACCGAGUCUUAACUGGGCGUUAAGUUGCAGGGUAUAGACCCGAAACCCGGUGAUCUAGCCAUGGGCAGGUUGAAGGUUGGGUAACACUAACUGGAGGACCGAACCGACUAAUGUUGAAAAAUUAGCGGAUGACUUGUGGCUGGGGGUGAAAGGCCAAUCAAACCGGGAGAUAGCUGGUUCUCCCCGAAAGCUAUUUAGGUAGCGCCUCGUGAAUUCAUCUCCGGGGGUAGAGCACUGUUUCGGCAAGGGGGUCAUCCCGACUUACCAACCCGAUGCAAACUGCGAAUACCGGAGAAUGUUAUCACGGGAGACACACGGCGGGUGCUAACGUCCGUCGUGAAGAGGGAAACAACCCAGACCGCCAGCUAAGGUCCCAAAGUCAUGGUUAAGUGGGAAACGAUGUGGGAAGGCCCAGACAGCCAGGAUGUUGGCUUAGAAGCAGCCAUCAUUUAAAGAAAGCGUAAUAGCUCACUGGUCGAGUCGGCCUGCGCGGAAGAUGUAACGGGGCUAAACCAUGCACCGAAGCUGCGGCAGCGACACUAUGUGUUGUUGGGUAGGGGAGCG
rnacentral:rRNA from 1 species